UCAUCUGGGAAGUUACCUGCCUGUGCUCUCCCUCAUUUAGCCUAUGUCAUGAGUUGAAAUAAUGAAUUCAAGACAACCCUUUUUUCUUCCUCUUUUCUUUCAAUGUUUAAUCAUAGUCUUUUCCAAGGGACCAGUUAGCAUCUUGUAGUUAACUCAUACGCUUUCUAGGCUGCCUAGAAAGGUCAUCAAAGAUGUUUCUGAAUGUCUUCUUGCAAACUUGGAGGCUUAUCACAAAGAUUUGAGAACUGGCUGUUAAUUUGCUAGUUUUGGGUUUUAUAAUCUUAUUUUGAAACUCUGGAGGUACUGUUCUUUCAGGAUGAGGAAGAGCAGAGUUCUUUCCGGGUAUCAGUAAGAAAGGCAGAACAGCAAGUUGAAUAAGGUAGACAGUAGGAAAAGAAAUAUAGAUAGCAAGUUUUUCCUCAUGUUGAGAUGGAACUUCCCGUGUUCCAGUUUGUGCCCCUUGCCCCUUGUCCUGUCGCUGGGCACCACUGAAAAGAACCUGGCCUAUAGCAGAUGUGGCUGGCUGAAGAUCUCUAACUCCCUGAAUACACUGUCUUCUGCAAGACUCCUAAUACAGUUUAAUUGACUAUUUCUUGGGAUGAAGCAGAUCAUCUUUAAAAAAUUUUCUUCUGACAUGUUAUAAGGCAUAUAAACACGUACAACCAUUCAUUGUUUUGGAGCUGUCAUAAAGGUACCUGAGUCAUCACCAGAGGACGCUUUCAGUGAUGCUGGCUGUCUAACUCCCAUUGUCUGAGUGCCAGUCACACAUCUGAAGACUGACAUUGUUUUAUCUACUGAGGAUACUGCAAAGAUGAAUUAUUUACCUUUGAGUCCUACUGUGGUGACAGCAGUAUCACAAAGAAGCCUAUUGAUAAAUAAAUAUUAUUCUGCUGAGUGAAGAGACUCUGGAAUAAAUAAGGUCAGAACUACACAAUAAAUGGGAGGAUAAGAAGAAAUAUUGAUUAGCUGCUUAUGAAGAAAGAACCAGUCAUUUUGUGCAUCGUGUUGAAAAAUACUGGAACAUUCUUUUCUGGACAUUGUUUUUGAAAGAGAACAAGGAAACCUGUUGACUGGCUUUCAAGGAAGCUUUAUUUCUCUGCUGGGAAUUCACUGAGGACAGACAAAAAUUUGAUGGUUAUUGCUGACAGCUUACUCAACCAUCUUAAUGUGCAUCACAAGCAACAGAUGCCCUCUAUGACUAUUACCUCCUCUUCAUGAGCAGCAUGUUUUUGCUGUAUGAAGUUCAGUGGACAUUUGAAAGGAUGUAGCUUACAUAUUGUCCAAAUUAUUUUAUGGCUAAUACAUAUGGCGAAUGAGGGGUGUGGUGUCAGACAGCAUUUAUUACUGUGGUUGAUAUCUUCUUUUGAAAAUGAAAUGCAAUAUGAGCCUGGAAACAAGUUGGACAAACCUCUUACAGGUUGAUCUUGCUACUCAAAAGUCGUCUUUGGCUUUUUUUAGAGUGAAAUCAUUGUUAUUGGGGACCUGUGUAAAUAAGCACCUUGAGGAGCGAUAGCCAUGGUGACUCACACUUAUCCAAGAAUGCUACAUCAUCAUCUCCCAGUCUGAGAUUUGAAUAAGAACAAUCAAGCAACAAAGCUCGUUGUAGUAGAAAAGACUGCACUUUGUGAUGACUUUAAUACAAAAUAUGGUUUAGUAAUAGCAAUGUCUGAACUGCUGGAAACCUGCAACAGAUCUUUAGAAAGUAUAAACUGGCAUAGUUCCCCAUAGUGCUCUGCUGCUGUAAGCCAGCUGAGGUAGUGCUAUUUUAAC